GAGUUCAGAAGUGUGCUCUUUCGAUAGUAAGAUAUCAUUCUAAAUCUACAAAGACUAAGUGACCGACGUUCAACAUCGUUCGAUUUAUCAACUCUUCCGAACUUGAGGUGAGGCCCUGGUCCAGAAUUCUACUGACGCAGACCGACACGAUCCGACGGCUCUCAAUCUCGUCGACCGAUUCACCUAAAGCUGAGUCAAUCCGAGUGUUAAUCUUCGAAAUUGAACGAAUUCUUGUUUUACCUUUUUAAUCGAAAUUUACUUCA
rnacentral:lncRNA from 1 species